GACGAACGCUGGCGGCGUGCCUAAUACAUGCAAGUAGAACGCUGAAGGAGGAGCUUGCUUCUCUGGAUGAGUUGCGAACGGGUGAGUAACGCGUAGGUAACCUACCUGGUAGCGGGGGAUAACUAUUGGAAACGAUAGCUAAUACCGCAUAAGAGUAGAUGUCGCAUGACAUUUGCUUAAAAGGUGCAAUUGCAUCACUACCAGAUGGACCUGCGUUGUAUUAGCUAGUUGGUGAGGUAACGGCUCACCAAGGCAACGAUACAUAGCCGACCUGAGAGGGUGAUCGGCCACACUGGGACUGAGACACGGCCCAGACUCCUACGGGAGGCAGCAGUAGGGAAUCUUCGGCAAUGGACGGAAGUCUGACCGAGCAACGCCGCGUGAGUGAAGAAGGUUUUCGGAUCGUAAAGCUCUGUUGUAAGAGAAGAACGAGUGUGAGAGUGGAAAGUUCACACUGUGACGGUAUCUUACCAGAAAGGGACGGCUAACUACGU
rnacentral:rRNA from 1 species